rnacentral:rRNA from 1 species
UACGGGGGGUGCGAGCGUUGUCCGGAAUCACUGGGCGUAAAGGGCGCGUAGGUGGUCUGAUAAGGGUGUGGUGAAAGUCCGGGGCUCAACCCCGGAUCUGCCGUGCCGACUGUCAGACUUGAGCACUGUAGAGGCAGGCGGAAUUCCGGGUGUAGCGGUGGAAUGCGUAGAGAUCCGGAAGAACACCGGUGGCGAAGGCGGCCUGCUGGGCAGUAGCUGACACUGAGGCGCGACAGCGUGGGGAGCAAACAGG